rnacentral:rRNA from 1 species
GACGAACGCUGGCGGCGUGCUUAACACAUGCAAGUCGAGCGGAGCGGCGAACGGGUGAGUAACGCGUGAGUAACUGCCCCCCUCUCUGGGAUAACAGUUGGAAACGGCUGCUAAUACCGGCUAGUGGGGGAUGACUCGCGUCCUAUCAGCUUGUGGGUGGGGUAGUGGCCUACAAAGGCGACGACGGGUUGCCGGCCUGAGAGGGCGACCGGCCACAUGGGGCUGAGCUACGGCCCAAACUCCAACGGGAGGCAGCAGUGGGGAAUAUUGCACAAUGGGGGCAACCCUGAUGCAGCAGCGCCGCGUGCGGGAUGACUUGCUUCGGGUUGUAAACCGCUUUCGGCCAUGACGCGGUAGUGGCAGAAGAAGCACCGGCUAACUACGUGCCAGCAGCCGCGGUAAUUC